rnacentral:rRNA from 1 species
CCUACGGGAGGCAGCAGUGGGGAAUAUUGCGCAAUGGGGGCAACCCUGACGCAGCAACGCCGCGUGAUUGCAGAAGGCCUUCGGGUUGUAAAGAUCUUUAAUCGGGGGCGCAUUUUGACGGUACCCGAAUCAUAAUCUCCGGCUAACUACGUGCCGGCAGCCGCGGUAAUGCGUAGGGAGCAAGCGUUAUCCGGAUUUACUGGGUGUAAAGGGCUUGUAGGCGGGCAUGCAAGCCAGACGGUAAAGCUGGGGGCUUAACCCUCAAACUGCUUUUGGAACUGCGUGUCUUGAGUGAUGGAGAGGCAGGCGGAAUUCCCAGUGUAGCGGUGAAAUGCGUAGAUAUUGGGAGGAACACCAGUGGCGAAGGCGGCCUGCUGGACAUUAACUGACGCUGAGGCGCGAAAGCGUGGGGAGCAAACAGGAUUAGAUACCCUGGUAGUC